CGUAGGGUGCGAGCGUUAAUCGGAAUUACUGGGCGUAAAGCGUGCGCAGGCGGUUUAGUAAGACAGGCGUGAAAUCCCCGGGCUCAACCUGGGAACUGCGCUUGUGACUGCUAAGCUAGAGUACGGCAGAGGGGGUGGAAUUCCACGUGUAGCAGUGAAAUGCGUAGAGAUGUGGAGGAACACCAAUGGCGAAGGCAGCCCCCUGGGUCGAUACUGACGCUCAUGCACGAAAGCGUGGGUAGCAAACAGGAUUAGAUACCCUGGUAGUCCACGCCCUAAACGAUGUCAACUAGGUGUUGGGAGGUUAAAACCUUUUAGUACCGGAGCUAACGCGUGAAGUUGACCGCCUGGGGAGUACGGCCGCAAGGUUA
rnacentral:rRNA from 1 species